CUUCUUUCCCUUACUCCUCUGAGUCCUCUCUCUCUAUCGCGAGCUCUCAUAUUACAAAAUCGAAAGAGAUUUGUCUCACAAUCGGUUGCAAUCAGAGGAGAUUGAUUCGAUUUUGAGGUUAUCCGGCUGUUUGACCCCGUUAUAUCAUCAUCUACACCGACGCCGACUCUCAACGGUAUCAAUGGUUAAGCUGUUCGGUGAAUUUGUUCUUUGAAAUCGGAGAUUUUGAUUCACCAACCUCUUUCUCAUGAUGAUCUAAAGAAGAAGAACAAGAGGACAACAAAAGGAAGAAUACAUCAGAUGUUAACCCUUCGCUGAGAUCAAAAUCGCCUGUAUAGACCAUGGUAAAUAGAUAGAGCUUGAAGGAACAUGGUACAGAAGCUAUUGUAUAGUAUACAAAGCUAGUGAAUAUGUGUUAAGAGUAAAUGGCAAAACAUAAUUAGUGCAGACUUUGAAUUCUUCUUAUUUCA